AGGCCUACCAUGGUGGUAACGGGUAACGGGGUGUUAGGGCACGACACCGGAGAGGGAGCCUGAGAAACGGCUACCACAUCCAAGGAUGGCAGCAGGCGCGCAAAUUACCCAAUCCCGACACGGGGAGGUAGUGACAAUAAAUAACAAUACGGGGUUCUUUAGGAUCUCGUAAUUGGAAUGAGUACAAUUUAAAUCUCUUAACGAGGAACAAUUGGAGGGCAAGUCUGGUGCCAGCAGCCGCGGUAAUUCCAGCUCCAAUAGCGUAUAUUAAAGUUGUUGCAGUUAAAAAGCUCGUAGUUGAAUUUCGGGGUUAGUAGGUUGGUCAUGCCUCUGGUAUGUACUGGUCUCACUGAUUCCUCCUUCCUUAUGAACCGUAAUGCCAUUAAUUUGGUGUUGCGGGGAAUUUGGACUGUUACUUUGAAAAAAUUAGAGUGUUUAAAGCAAGCUAACGCUUGAAUACAUUAGCAUGGAAUAAUGAAAUAGGACGUUCGAUCUUAUUUUGUUGGUUUCUAGGAUUGACGUAAUGAUUAAUAGGGAUAGUUGGGGGCAUUAGUAUUCAAUUGUCAGAGGUGAAAUUCUUGGAUUUAUUGAAGACUAACUACUGCGAAAGCAUUUGCCAAGGAUGUUUUCAUUAAUCAAGAACGAAAGUUAGGGGAUCGAAGACGAUCAGAUACCGUCGUAGUCUUAACCAUAAACUAUGCCGACUAGGGAUCGGAUGAU
rnacentral:rRNA from 1 species